rnacentral:lncRNA from 1 species
CACUAGAUGGGGCACGAAAUUCUAGGUGAAAUAGACCUAAAGUUCAUGCAAAACAAAGGAGCACAGCUCACACAAAGCACAAAACAAUCCAACAAGCAAUUUGUCCAAAAACAGCAACAUACCACAUUGUUCAUAUGAAAACUAACAGCUACAACCACCUAUCAAGCUCAACCAAGACAUGGAUAUGAAGCUAACAAGGAGUACAACAACCCCAAACAAACAGCAACAUGGAUAGGGUCAUGGAUCAAUGGCAAUCGUGCUAGAACAUGGUAAGGGUUAUAACAGAAUUGGACUUAGUGAAAAUAUCAGUAUUGCACAAGCAGAUUUAUCAUGAUGGCAUGUUGAUAGCAAUAAAACUCUAUACUACUCUAACUUUCAUGGCAUGAACGUUAACAGGGUGAUAGAGGGCAACAACUACUACAAUUCGCUCCUAGUAACCAUGAGCUAGUACUGCACAGAAUCAAUGAUAUCAUCCACUCAACACAGCAUGAUGAUAUGAGCAGAUUCUCAAACUUUGUUAAAUUUCACAAGGUGAAUUCACAGCAGUAUACAUCAACAUGACAUGUUUGACAGGAAGAAUAACUAAGAUCCAUAACCUAUUUGCAAAGUAGUGGCACCAUUUGACAGAUGACAACAUGCUCUUUAAUUCACACCAAAGUAUAAGCACAAAGAACUCGUAGAUGCUUGGCAAUCAUCAUGGAAACACACCUACUUGAAAUGGUUUUCAAACUUAGUCAUAUUUCACAUACUCAAAAUAGAAAUAUUGUGAUGACAUGUCCACAACAAGAAAUCCAAAAAUAUACAAAUCUUUCAUGGCAAAUAAAAAUACCAGGUCCUAGUACUCCCUAAACAAUACAACUUUCAAGUUGACAAGUUUGACAAAGGGUGCAAGGACUCAACCACACAAAAAUAACAAAUAGGCAUCAUGACAUAAAAUAGCAUGGAUAUCAUCUUACUCAAAAGUCAAAACUAAUUCCACCAUUGGAUUCCUUAGAUUUUUCUACCCCAAAUUCAUAUAUCACAAGCCUAUGUUACUGUAGUAAAAACAACCACAAUUCACAAACAAAAUUCCCACAUCAAGUUAUAACAUGGUAUAUGCCAAAUUUGGCAUGUCUCUAUUUGGGCUCUGCCAGAAUUGUCAUGGCCAGAUUUGGGCAAGGCCCAAAAUGGCAAGAACAGAAAACAUCAUAUAGAACACAAAAAAACAAAAUACAGGGAAGGGCCCACUAGCAGACAACCAAUGUGACACGUGGGUCCCUCGGCCCUACUGUGAGCCACACACCAAUGAAGAAAAAAGUGGGGCUAAUUGGCGCUCCUGGGGGAUCGAACCCGGGUCUCACGGGCCAAAGUGAGGGGGCCGAGCCACUUGCUAGGUUGGGGGCUCGAAACAAGGGGGUCUCUGCUCCUUUUGAGCUAGCCCCCCAGCGGCGGCCGGUCUGCGCCUGCUCCACCAGGAACAUGGCGUCGACGCUCGCGCUCACUCGAGCGACCUACGACGAGGGAGACCUACGGUAGGGGCUGCGGGUCUCGCGGGGAUUCGAUUCCCGGUGGCAGGACACGGUGAUGCAUCGGUCAAAGUGCC